AAGCGGGAAGAGGUCGACUUGGGCCCCCGGGACUGGGGGUAGAGAGAAGGGGAGGGAGGCGUCAGCUCCGGGGCUGGGACCAAUCCGACCCGGCAGAGGCAGGAAAGAGAAUCCCCCGGUCAGUCAGACUGCGAACACCCCACAAACCCCACCUCUCAGAUUUUCCCACCGCUAGAUACAUUCUCUCCUUUCCCCCGCGCUCAAAUGAAUGCUGCAGCCACCGGUCGAACAUUUUCCACACCUGGAAAAUUGGCACUGCCAACCAUUCCCUAGCCCAUAAAUCUUUCCCCUCGAUCUGGGCAGCUUCCUUCUCUGCAGAUGUUGGCAAUCAGGUUUGCAAAAUUUCAAAGUCAUUCAUUGCAGAAGGGUGAAGGGAGGCAGUUGAUUGCAGCAGCACACACAAAAUCUUGUCACCUUAGCAAAGUCUACUGUCAUCACAGCAACCCCCUUCUCCACACCCCAGGAAAAAAAAAGUCUUGAACCGCAGAAGGGCAGGGGGUCUCCGCACAACUUUGCAGACGACAGCUGCGACAUCAAAGAGCCACAAUCGAACAAGGCAAUUCACCACCCCGAGUCAGUAGAGCCCUCUGCUACCCUCCCCCGCAGUUCUGAAGCUCAGUCCCGGUACAGCUAGGAGUCUGACUGCCCAACAUCUGGGAAUCAGUCAGCGGUAGGAGUUCAGAGACUGAGACAGUGGAAAAGAGGAGAGUGACUGGAUGUUAUUAAACAUACUGGAGUUUCCAAAAGUCUUAGUAAACAAAUC